rnacentral:rRNA from 1 species
CAUUCACGGAGAGUUUGAUCCUGGCUCAGGACGAACGCUGGCGGCGUGCUUAACACAUGCAAGUCGAACGGUGAAGCCCUUCGGGGUGGAUCA